rnacentral:rRNA from 1 species
GAUGAACGCUAGCGGCAGGCCUAAUACAUGCAGGUCGAGGGGUAGAAGAGGCUUGCUUCUUUGAGACCGGCGCACGGGUGCGUAACGCGUAUGCAACCUACCUUCAUCUGGGGGAUAGCCCGGAGAAAUCCGGAUUAAUACCGCAUAAAAUCACAGGAUGGCAUUAUCCAAUGAUCAAACAUUUAUGGGAUGGAGAUGGGCAUGCGUGUCAUUAGCUAGUUGGCGGGGUAACGGCCCACCAAGGCGACGAUGACUAGGGGAUCUGAGAGGAUGGCCCCCCACACUGGUACUGAGACACGGACCAGACUCCUACGGGAGGCAGCAGUAAGGAAUAUUGGUCAAUGGAGGCAACUCUGAACCAGCCAUGCCGCGUGCAGGAAGACUGCCCUAUGGGUUGUAAACUGCUUUUAUUCGGGAAUAAACCUUAUUACGUGUAAUAAGCUGAAUGUACCGAAGGAAUAAGGAUCGGCUAACUCCGUGCCAGCAGCCGCCGUAA